rnacentral:rRNA from 1 species
CGAGUAGGCGGCUUCCUAAGUCAGACGUGAAAUCCCCCGGCUUAACCUGGGAACUGCGUCUGAUACUGGGAGGCUAGAGUAUGGGAGAGGGAGGUAGAAUUCCAGGUGUAGCGGUGAAAUGCGUAGAUAUCUGGAGGAAUACCGGUGGCGAAGGCGGCCUCCUGGACCAUAACUGACGCUGAUCCGCGAAAGCUAGGGGAGCAAACGG